CUGAUCAAUUGUAAUAUAAGAAAUCAAAUUGCUGGUCUAGCGCACAGUAAAAAUUACCAUUUGCAAAUUGAAUUGCCACCGGUGGGUGAUGUUCGUGAAGAGAAGCGGUAACCAUCGAGCACAAUUUACACGAUCAAGACCACGAUUAGUAUAAUGAUUGAUAUGAACUGUUUGUAAAGUACAAUAUCUGACUCGUGAAAUGAGCGUACUACCGAAG
rnacentral:lncRNA from 1 species